GAAAAAAAAGCGCACAUCAUCAAUCCAUCUUCUUAUUUCUUUCUGUUUUCUUUUCAGAGGAGAUGAUUUGAGGAGAGAGAAAAGAAGAAGAAGAAGAAGACGAAGAAGAAGAAGAAGAAGAAGAAAUGGAGAAAUGCUUUAGAGAGAGAAAGAAGAGAGAGAAAACAGAUGGCAGGGCGGAGGAGGAAACAAGAAGCAGAGAAAUGAAACUGCCGUCUCUGUCACAGAUUUGCAGGAUAAAACGACGCCGUUUAAUGUUAUGGAAACGCCCCUCAAAAAGUAGGGUUGUCCACGUCAUUCGCCCCAGGAAAAGGAAAAGAAUUAGCCGUUGUAAAAGCAUCC